rnacentral:rRNA from 1 species
GACCCUCCCGGCCUUCCCGCCCCCGGGCGGGUCGGCGCCCCGCCGGAGGAUAACCAAACUCUGAUUUAACGACGUUUCUUCUGAGUGGUACAAGCAAAUAAUCAAAACUUUUAACAACGGAUCUCUUGGUUCUGGCAUCGAUGAAGAACGCAGCGAAAUGCGAUAAGUAAUGUGAAUUGCAGAAUUCAGUGAAUCAUCGAAUCUUUGAACGCACAUUGCGCCCGCCAGCAUUCUGGCGGGCAUGCCUGUUCGAGCGUCAUUUCAACCCUCAAGCUCUGCUUGGUGUUGGGGCCCUACAGCUGAUGUAGGCCCUCAAAGGUAGUGGCGGACCCUCCCGGAGCCUCCUUUGCGUAGUAACUUUACGUCUCGCACUGGGAUCCGGAGGGACUCUUGCCGUAAAACCCCCCAAUUUCCAAAGGUGACCUCGGAUCA